CGGCGCUGGAGGAGAAGGGCGCCCUGGAGCAGAUGGGCAAGUUCCUCUCCGACCCGCAGGUGCACACGGUGCUGGUGGAGCGCUCCACGCUCAAGGUUCACAGAUGCAGGCAGAAGGAAUCUCCCUAAAAUUUCAUCUGAAGGACUGCACCUGCCACAGUGUUGCAAAGUACUGCAGUGCAGUAUAAACGGUGUGUCUUCCUCAGAUGGAGAUAGCUUUGUGCUGCAUUGCAGUGGUUCACUGCAGAAGUGCCAGCAUGCACAGCGAUUACAUCACCUUGUGAUUCACUAGCUAAGUUAAGGAAUCAGUCAUUUUCUCUCUUACACUUUGUACUUUUAAUCUCCUCUUCUCCUUAAUAUAAAAAGAAGGCUUCGAAAAUAUCAAGGCAAGUUAGGAAAAGGAAUUAAACUGAUGAUUUUGUGGCAUGUUCUUGCAGGUCUUUAAGCAUACUGAGAUAACAAAACUUUGUGUAUUUUUAAAAAGCCAUAACACAGGCUUUGUAUUGUAGGGAAACUCUGCAAUCUGUCUCUUGAAAUCAGCAUGUAAGGAGUUGUCUUGUAAUUUGCUUUCACUACAAUUCAUACAGGAGGCAGCUUAGAAAAAUGGGGAGCAGUAGUGAUCCUGAAGUAACUAAUCUCUUGUAAUAAAGCCAUAAAAACCUCUGUCUUGAGCAGUCAUAUGUUUCUGGGUUCUAAGUCAUGGUUAGUACAAAUGAAAAGAGAUUUUGGUAUGUUCUGUCCAAUUCUGCUGACAACAAAUUAAAUAAUUCUGGGUAUGAUUUCAAACCUAGAUGAGAAAUGGGUACAAAUGAGCUCCUGCAUGAGUAGGUGUGAGGUAGAGGGGGUGGAGAGUGAUGGGUUAAUAGGCUUGUAAGUGCAUGUUAGAGGUUUUUAAUUAGCGAAUGCUGUUUGCAGAGGAUGUGGGUGAUGAGGGAGAAGAGGAAAUAUAAUUAAUAUCCUAUAGCAUUAAUACUGACAAUCAUUGUGAGCUAAAGUCAAACAGGUGUGGCAGUCUUACUGAAAUCUGAUAUGAAUGUUUUAGGACUAGGAAAAGCUAAUCCUAUAAUCCUUAUGCUAACAUGUACAUAGUAAUAUGUAGAGCUUUUGAUGUUCAAAAUGCUCUACAAACGUCUAGCUUCACAACAGAGCGCUCUCUCUCAUAUGCUUGCAUAUUUGUCUCUUGUCAUUGUCUAACGCUAGCAUGCAUUUGUCUCUGUGAAGCAAAAAUAUUUUAGAAAUCUUACACCAGAAAAUGGUGUGCUUUCAAUUACCAUGAUUAUAGACUUGAUUGCUGUUAGUUUUCUGUCAGUCUAAAAUGGAUUAAUAUAAAAACCUAAUACAUCCAGCUACUACUAGUAGUUUUAAAGCAUUAGCACAAGUUUUGCUCUCACACUUUCAAAACUGUACCCGGUAAAGCACGAUAGCAUUAACAUCUGAUAUACACCUCCUAAUUUUGUGUUGUACUAGAGCUACUGUAAUUUACUGUAUUCUAGAAUUAAAUGUCUUAUGGUUAACUAACUUUUUUUCUUUGCUCCACAGUUUGGCGUUCAUUAAGUGUACACCAGUGACUGAUGCUGACAAAACAAUGUCCUCCCAACUGCUUAAUUCUCAACAUGUGUGUGGCAAAGAAACUGUCAGAUCAGUGAGUCUUGGGCGAUCAGAUCCAGUAUCUCCUGUACGGUCCAUGCUGGAGCUCUUUUUGGAUUUGGGACUGCAUUGCCACCCGUGCUGAUCAGAGCUCUACGCUGGGCAAACAGGAAAUGAAAAUCAAAAUUUCACGGGGCUUUUCCUGUUUACCUAGCCACUGCAUCCGAGUUGAGAGUGCUGUCCAGAGCAGUCACAGUGGUGCACUGUGAGAUACUGCCCGGAGGCCAAUGCCGUCGAUUUGCGGCCACACUAGCCCUAAUCCAAUAUGGUAAUACCGAUUUUAGCGCUACUCCUCUCAUCGGGGAGGAGUACAGAAACCGAUUUAAAGAGCCCUUUAUAUCGAUGUAAAGGGCUUCGUAGUGUGGACGGGUACAGCGUUAAAUCGGUUUAAUGCUGCUAAAAUCGGUUUAAACGCGUAGUGUAGACCAGGCCUUAUAGAGUUUACUAAACAAUGUGACCUUAUGCAGGUCACUGCUGUUGCCCAGCAGAAUCAAGGAGAUGUACCUAAACCCCAGGAUAUGAAGGUAGUAGAAGUCCUUUUUGAUGCUGUAGAUGCUAAUGCUAUUGAAGAAGUAAAUCUUGCUUAUGAGAAUGUUGAAAAAGUAGAUGUCUUAGAUGUUACCAAAGAAGGUAUGGAAGCCUGGGAGGCAGCAAUGAAACGAUAUGAUGAAAGAACUGAGAGAGUUGAAACAAGAAUAACUGCUCGUCUACAAGACCAGCUUGGCACAGCAAAGAAUGCUAAUGAAAUGUUCAGGCUCUUCUCCAAAUUCAGUGCUUUGUUUUCGACCUCAUAUUCGGGGCGCUAUUCAUGAAUAUCAAACACAAUUGAUCCAGCAUGUAAAAGAUAUCAAGUCUCUUCAUGUCAAAUUCAAGGUACAAUCCCCACAAAGUCAGGCUUGCAAAAUGAGUCAUGUUUGUGACUUGCCUCCUGUGUCUGGGUCUAUAAUCUGGGCCAAACAGAUGGAUCGACAGCUCACAGCCUACAUGAAGCGUGUUGAAGAUGUGAUUGGCAAAGGCUGGGAGAACCAUGUUGAAGGCCAGAAGCUGAAGCAAGAUGGUGACAGCUUCCGAAUGAAGCUCAGCACUCAAGAAGUAUUUGGUGAUUGGGCAAGGAACGUUCAGCAACGCAAUCUUGGUGUGUGGCCGUAUCUUCGCUAUUGAAAGCACUCGUGUUAGAGGCCAAACCGGAAAUGUCCUCAAACUAAAAGUCAGCUUUCUCCAAGAAAAAAUUAAGUCCCAGAAAGAAGUCUGCAACCUUGAGUGGUUUGGAUUUUGUGUUCCACUUGCAAUUGUCAGCAAAGCUCACCGAGCAAACCAACUCUAUCCUUUUGCUAUUUCUCUGAAUGAAAGGGUCCAUAUGUAUGAACGGACCUGUGAGAAGGUGGAAGAGCGUAACACUAUUUCUCUGCUGGUAGCCGGACUAAAGAAGGAAGUGUAGGCUUUGAUUGGAGAAGGUAUUGCCCUGGCGUGGGAGUCAGAUGCAUGACAUAUCUUACCAAAAUGCUAAUUUAGUAAAGUAGCUACUGAAACUCUUCAGUUAGUGAUUAUAACAUGAACACACUUUGUAUUAAUGCUUUAUAUUCUAGUAUAGCAUCAGUUACAUUUUAAAAACCUGUGUGCAUAUUUCUCAUUAUCUCCCUUUUAGAUUAAGGAAAUUAGCCAAAUUCUGACAUCUCCAUUAUCAGGCAAUUUCCCAGACCCUUCAGUAAGUUUCAGUGAAUGAACACAGAGUAAUGACUCGCCCCCUUGCAUGAAUGGAUGUCGUUCUGUUUGUGAGAGAGGGAUGUUUUAUCACUUCCAUCAACAUGGCAGACUGAAUGUACUAAAAUUAAAUUUUCCCUUAGGUGGAUAAUCUGCUCAUUACUGAAAAAAAAUAGACCUGGAAGUUCGAUCCUUGGAAAUCUGCAUGUAUGAUCAUAAUCUGCAUGUAUGAUCAUAAGACUUUUUUUUUCAGAAAUCUUGAAAAGAGUUCAAAAAGCUGUGGAUGACUUGAAUCUUCAUUUGUAUUCCAGUUUGCCCAUCUGGGUCAAUAAGUUGGAUAUGGAGAUUGAACGAAUACUAGGAGUUCGUCUACAGGCUGGGCUGAGAGCUUGGACCCAAGUUCUUGAACAAGCUGAUGAUAAAACAGAAGUUGACAUGGAUACAGAUGUGCCUCAGGUCAGUCAUAAGCCUGGUGGGGAGCCAAAGAUCAAAAGGCCCAGGCCACUGCAGGUGGAGCAAACCAAAUCGAGGCUCCUUUGCACCUUGUCUGGAGACCAGCCCUUGAUAGACAAUCGUCCAGAUACAGGAAGAUCUAGACCCCUCAAUGCCUCAGGGAAACCGUCUGCUUAGUUCGUCCGCAGUGGUAUUCAGGGCCCCAGGGAGAUAGGCGGCUGAUAAUCCAGUUGAUGUUCACGAGACCUCAAUUCCAGAGCUUCAUAGCUUCUGCGCAAAGCGAGUGAGAUCGAGUUCCUCCCUGCCUGUUUACAUAGCGAGUGAGAUCGAGUUCCUCCCUGUCCUUAUCCAAACAUGCUGGUUCCUAAUGAAUGGGAGGAAGUGACAGCAGGCAUUGAAUAUGGCUCGAAGUUCUAGGAUGUUUAUGUGCAGGAAGGUUUCGGUGGAAGACCGUAGCCCCUGCGUUGUAUGAUAGGACAUGUGUGCUCCACAUCCUGUGAGGGAUGCAUUGGUAGUCGUCAUAAGCGAUGGAGCAUCCUGGAGAAAAGGGACUCCUGAGCAGAGAUUGGAGGGAACUGUCCACCAUAGGAGGGAGUCUUUGAAGGGUAUGGAUAGAGGUUUGUUUAGAGUGUGUACAUUCAAUCUGUAAACCGUAGUCAGCCAAGCUUGGAAGCACCUCAUGUAUAGGCGUGCAUUCCUGACCAUGAAAGCACAUGAGGCCACGUGACUUUAGAGUUGUAGGCAGUCCCGAGCAGUGACCUGAGGACUGUUGCGAAGUUCUGUGACCAGGAGUUUUACGGUGUUUGAAAUGGUCAAGCAGGAGAGAUGCUGUUCCCUUCCGGGAAUUGAACUCCAGUUGCUGGGUAGGAGAUAAGGUGGAUUUGUUUGUUU